CUGAAAUUCUGUCCUCAGCUUCAUUCAAGCUUUCUUUCUAGAAUCUGUCACCCACUAGGCAUAUAUCAUGAAGGAGAAUUUGGUAUUAAAAAUGUUGGAUGAACUUAGUUCUGACAAAUACUGCAUCAUUUUGGCUCCUGAUGUGCUGUGUCACCUCAUUCAUCAUGGUACUCCAGGAAGACCUGAGGCCACACUUCACAGAUGCAAAAUUCUUCCUUUUCUAUGUGAUUAUCCUCGUCUCUUCACGGUAAGUGUUGCUUUCUCUUAAAUGUUCUGUUUUCUAAAGAGUGAUAGAAGUGCUGAUUUAAAGGUAAUGUUAAUGCAGAAGGUGGGUUAAAAUACCUCUACCUAAAAACAAAUUCACCCGGUUAGCACUUUCAGGAUUUUCAUAAAGAAAUAAUAAGAUGUUCACUGUCCCAUGUACAAAAACUAAUUGGAAAUAUCCUACUUUUCUCAACACUAAAGGAGUCAUUAAAAUAAAACAUGGUCCUGCUGCCAUAAUACAACACUCUGUGGAAGAAAACAUGAUAUAGUAUAUUGAACAAUAUGGGAAGUACUGAUCAGUAAAUAUUCUCUGAAACAGAAGACAAAACUAUACAUAGCUUCAGUUUAGUAAAAAUGGCAGGUUUAAGGGGGUUCUCAAAGCAAAUAAAACAAAUACACCAAAUUUAGCAAGACAGACACGGAAAAGGGAAAAAAGAGGAAAGAAGAAAAUCAUGAAAUCCAACUGCCAGAAAGAAUAACUAACAUUUUGGUAUAGAUGUGUCCUACGUAAAACUGUACUAAAUAAUUUUAUAGUAUACAAACUUACAGAACUCAACAACAUAUGUUCAGUGUAUUAUAGUUAUAAUUCUUUUGUUUGCAAAUAGAAAUAUAGUUUUGUUGUUGUUUAAGGUUCUUGUUUUUACUUAGUAUUCUGUCAUAUAACUUGUUAACUAUCUUUACUGAUAUUUACAUUUUUUCCUAAUCUUUUUACUUUUAAAGUAGCAUUGAAGUGAAUAUUCCUAUAGAUUUCUCUAAGCUUGUCUAUCUCAUUGUUUGAUGUUGAAAUUAACACCGGCCUGCCUCAGUCCUCUGUAGCUUCUGUACCAUGCCCUCCCCAUGGCACUGCCUGGUCCCUCCUGCAUGGAGGUGGCAAAGCUGUCCUUGGCCCUGGCUCUGCGAGGUCCCUUAGGGAUGCAGAUUGCGACUCUGUCCUAGGUGCUAGCGCUUCCUGGUCCUGGAGGAUGGAGACUACAACGCUGUUCUCGGUGCUGGUGUUGCCCGGUAGCUCCACGAUGCAGAGGCGAUGCUGUCCUCAGCGCUGGUGCUGUCUUGUCCUUGGGGGAUGGACAUCAGCAUGUGCAACACGUGCGCAGUCCCAGCAGGUGGUAUAGAGAAGGCUGAGGAAAAUCCCUCUUCCAAACACAGAGACUGCCUACGCUGGCCCCUGAGGGUUCGACCUUUAAAGCAAUGCAAAGGUUUUCACAUUAGGCAGGGCAUUUUUAACGUAAUAAACUACCUGUUCUAAGUACAAGAGCCCUCCUCCCUACUUUCUCUCUGCCCCAUUUGAAGAGUCUGCACCAUGGUGCUGCUCUAAACAGCUUUCUUUUCUUUUCCUAAGUAAUUAAUAAAUGGCCUCAGUGGGAGAAAUAAAGAAAUCUACUUACUGUACAAAGAAGAAUUAAAUGGCUGGUACUUACCCAAACGUCUGAUUUGCUCACAGGUAUCAUCUUUGAGAUCCAACACCUUCUACAUGGCCAGGAAUGACUGGAACCAUGAGCUUUCUUCCCCUUCCUCCACAUAGGAUUUGUAGGGGAAGACGUAAUGGUGGGCAACUACUGCCAGGAACAUCUCCGAGCAGAUGAGGAACUUCUAAGACAGCAGAAAAAAAAAGACAGCCUUCUUUGGCUUUAAUCUAGAUUUCUAAAUUGCUAUGUUUCUUCAAAUACUUUUCAAAAGUACUGAAGUUUCAAGCACUGUUUCUUUUCUUUUCAUAAUAUAUUCAUUUUUCUUUUCCCCAAAUUAUUUUUUACCUUUUCGCAAAAGGACAAAAUUUUAAUCUAUUUUGCACUACCUAAAUCCAGUAUUUCUUAGCAAACUACACUGUAUUUUCAAUCCACCACAGAGGCACUAAGGAAAAAGGUAGAGAGAGAAGUGGACUAGGCAGACCAAAAUCCAGGUUCUAUGACAAAUUGGUAUGGCCAUUUUCUUUAGGAUUCCUGUUUGCUCACCUGCAGCCCCAUGGCCUAUGUGCUAUGAGGGUCAGUGGACAUGAUAGAUAAAAUGUGUUUAAGGAACACUCAAGUUCUCCUGAGCUCAGAGACAGCACUGUCUACCUGCAGAUGUCCUACGGACAUCUCUGUGGGAAUGAUGCCAAGUGUCACCAGCUCAGCAAUGAUGAUUCCCUGCCUACAUGUUGGCAAAAGGCAAAUGUCAAACCACGUCAUACAAAACAGUUAAAACCCUUCGCUGGGCCCCGUGCUCCUUCCUGCGAGGGGAGCUCUUCCGCCUGGCUCAGUUUCUGUUUGUCGGAACUGGUUCCGAGCCUGGAAGUUUGGGGCCCUUCUGUGGUCCCGCAGAGCGCGGCCCGUCAGUCGCCGCCUCGGCCACACAUAGGAAGUGGCGUGUUCCCGCAUCCCCUGCUGGUCUGAUGAAGAGGACGCUCGAGUUGUCCCGCUCGGAGUCUGCGGAGAAGCCCUCCGCGCAGGGGGAAGGAAGCUGCCAGGGUCCUCUGCGGGUCCUGGCUGGGUGACAGGUGACGUCACGAGCGCCCGCCCCCAGGGGCGCUGCAGGGCCACCUUCACUCACCCGCAACCUCACCCGGCUCUGACCCUGCGGUGCUGCUGGCCGCUCCACUGAGCGUCCUCUGCCGGGGCAUGUGGUCGGUAUUAUGUACAGCAUUUAUUUGUAUUUAAUUCAAGUUUUAUUGACUUUAAUCUAGAGCUGUCAGCCAAUUAUUUUCGCCUCUAACUGCUGGAAGCAAGCUGCUUUAGUUGUACAAAAAAAUAGCUCAUAUCCUCUCUUGAGAAAUUAUCGUUGUAAUGUCUCUUGGGAAACUUUUCUUUGAAACUUUUAUAGCUUGAGCGUUCUCCUUAAGUGAGAUCAGUUAAUGUUUAUCAUCUGUAAACAUUCCUGUUUUCCAGGGUGGCAGCUUAGAUCUGUUUCAUAAAAUAUUUUAUCAUGUGUUUACCACUUACUAGAUAUGGAAUGAAGAUUUUAGAAAGAUUCCUUAUCAUUAUAGAGCUAAAACACUCAACUGAUAGGGGAAAGUACGGAGUUGAAAGAAAUCUGUUUCAAUUCUAGCACACUAACUGGGUCUUACAGGAAGAUAAUAACAUUAAUAAUACCUCCUUCACCGACUUGUGAAGAUUAGGUGACAAAAUGCUUCUAAGCUUUCAUACACAGAGUUCUUGCCAUACAUUAGCUAUGAUAAGCAUGUAACAUUUCUUUUAAAUGUUCCUGAGUACAUUGGGAGGCUUAAAAAUGGCACACUGUUUUCGUUUUUCAUUGCUUUAAGGUUAUUUUUGAACUCUUUUAAGACCUAGGAGAGAUUCCAAAUUUGGUCCUCAUAUGUUUUGGUUCCUAAGUCUACAUUACACUGCGGAAGGGUGAAUUCAAGAGAUGGGGGCCAGCACUUGGAGCUGUUUGUUUGACAAGAGAUAAAGAACAGAUGAGCUUCAGGAUAUGGAGAAAAUUAUGGCUCAGAUUGAAAGGGGAGAGGCAAGAAUUCAAAGAAGAAUAUCAAAAAAAGCACUUGAUACAAAGGUUGAUCCCUGGUACUGGCUAAAAAAC